UGGGGAAUAUUGCGCAAUGGGCGAAAGCCUGACGCAGCAACGCCGCGUGUGUGAAGAAGGCUUUCGGGUCGUAAAACACUGUCAGGUGGGAAGAAACCUACCCUUGAGGUAGCUGACGGUACCACCAAAGGAAGCACCGGCUAACUCCGUGCCAGCAGCCGCGGUAAUACGGAGGGUGCAAGCGUAGUUCGGAAUUACUGGGCGUAAAGGGCGCGUAGGCGGCUUGUCGGGUCUGAUGUGAAAGCCCGGGGCUCAACCCCGGAAGUGCAUUGGAAACUGGCAAGCUUGAGUUCGGAAGAGGAGGGCAGAAUUCCCGGUGUAGGGGUGGAAUCCGUAGAUAUCGGGAGGAAAAUCAGUGGCGAAGGCGGCCCUCUGGUACGAAACUGACGCUAAGGCGCGAAAGCGUGGGGAGCAAACA
rnacentral:rRNA from 1 species